GAGUCUCAACAGCAGCAGAGCAGGAGCAGCAAGGAGCAGCAAACAUGCUGCUGCUGGCCGCUCUAUUGGUCACAGCUGCAUGGUUUUACGGAUUUGCAUGGGGAAUUCCCAUACAGAGCCCUGUAUCCAUCACAAAGUCACAAGGAAGUAUACAUCUGCAGUGUCAUUUUGGAGACUUCUUUGGAGAUUUUGAUAACACCGUCAUUCACUGGUAUCAGCUGAAAGAGAAUAAACCUCCAGAGAGGCUACUCUUCUUUGCAGAAGGGAAAACUAGAGUUGAAAGUGGCUUUCAAGAGAACAAGUACAUGGCUGAUAACGUUUCUAGUCAGAAUCUGUCUAUUCUUACAAUAAACCAUGUAAGUCCAGAUGAUGAUGCUACGUACUACUGCGCCUACUGGGACCCACACCAUGAUAGAUGCUCAGAGACCAGCAAGCCACAAAACUCCUUCAACCACACAGCUUCAACUACCCAGAGCAAACACUGCACGGAUGCAGAGAGUCACAAAAGGGCUGGAAGGGACCUCUGGAGAUCAUCCAGUCCAACCUCCCUGCUAAAGCAGAUUCCCUAGAGCAGGUUACACAGGAAGGAGUCCAAGAAGGUCCUGAAUGUCUCCAGAGGAGACUCCUCACC